GGAUUUUGCGAUGGACAAUCGCAGUUAGUCGUAUGCGACGUUUGCGACACACCAGCAGGAACGAUGGUGAAAUUUGCGACAAUCACUCCGCGUUAGCACAACACCGCGCACAACGGUAACGCGGUAACGACACUUGGUCGCAAUCCAAGAGUGCAAAGCAAAACAAGGUGUAAAUCCAACGCGAAGAUAGGUUACCAGCUGGGUCUUGACGUCACAAUAAGCGUGAUUAGCGUUCUAGACACGAAACGUCAAAUUAUAUUGGCGUCUCGCUUGGAUCCAAGGAUUUUUGAGUCAGAUUAUUAAAACGCGAAUAAGAGUGGAAUAACGAUAAAUGGUAGAAAUGGUAAAUGUUAGAUGAAAAAUUAACUUGGUUUUUAAAACAAGUAAAUUUCAGUAUUUAACUAAAA